AUGAACGCUGGCGGCGUGCCUAACACAUGCCAGUCGAACGGAGUCGUUUUGGAAAUCUCUUCGGAGAUGGAAUUCUCGACUUAGUGGCGGACGGGUGAGUAACGCGUGAGCAAUCUGCCUUUAAGAGGGGGAUAACAGUCGGAAACGGCUGCUAAUACCGCAUAAAGCAUUAAAUUCGCAUGUUUUUGAUGCCAAAGGAGCAAUCCGCUUUUAGAUGAGCUCGCGUCUGAUUAGCUAGUUGGCGGGGUAACGGCCCACCAAGGCGACGAUCAGUAGCCGGACUGAGAGGUUGAACGGCCACAUUGGGACUGAGACACGGCCCAGACUCCUACGGGAGGCAGCAGUGGGGAAUAUUGCGCAAUGGGGGAAACCCUGACGCAGCAACGCCGCGUGAUUGAAGAAGGCCUUCGGGUUGUAAAGAUCUUUAAUCAGGGACGAAACAAAUGACGGUACCUGAAGAAUAAGCUCCGGCUAACUACGUG
rnacentral:rRNA from 1 species